GACGAACGCUGGCGGCGUGCUUAACACAUGCAAGUCGAACGGAAAGGCCCUGCUUUUGUGGGGUGCUCGAGUGGCGAACGGGUGAGUAACACGUGAGUAACCUGCCCUUGACUUUGGGAUAACUUCAGGAAACUGGGGCUAAUACCGGAUAGGAGCUCCUGCUGCAUGGUGGGGGUUGGAAAGUUUCGGCGGUUGGGGAUGGACUCGCGGCUUAUCAGCUUGUUGGUGGGGUAGUGGCUUACCAAGGCUUUGACGGGUAGCCGGCCUGAGAGGGUGACCGGCCACAUUGGGACUGAGAUAGGGCGCAGACUCCUACGGGAGGCAGCAGGGGGGAAUAUUGCACAAUGGGCGGAAGCCUGAUGCAGAAACGCCGCGUGCGGGAUGACGGCCUUCGGGUUGUAAACCGCUUUCGCCUGUGACGAAGCGUGAGUGACGGUAAUGGGUAAAGAAGCACCGGCUAACUACGUG
rnacentral:rRNA from 1 species